AGACAAUAAAGCAUAACAUAUGCCUCAAUUUGCAAAAUUGAAAACUGUAAUUAAUUACUAUUGCCUA
rnacentral:tRNA from 1 species